GUGUGUGUGUAUGUUCUUAAGCUUCUCAACCCCAUUCUACCCAUAAAUCUUCACCUCUUCUAACAUAUACUUUCAUUAGCUGCGUGUAGUAAAUUUUGUACACAAUGUUGAUGUUGGAGUAUCCCCACCCAAAAAAAAGAAAAAAAAAAAAAUAGACACACACACAUACCCACCUAUGCUGAGUCUAAGACUUUCACAAUCUUUACUUCUUCAAACUCACACAUCCUAACUGGUUCAUUUUGGUCAUAUUUGAAACUCAAAAGGGAACAUAGAGGUUAACUAAUUGAUCAAGAAGACAAGAAGGUCAGUCUGGCUUCGUCAAGCUCCUCAUAAACAUGCCUAUUUUCUCACCCCUCUACAACUAUGUUGUGGGCUAAAGGUGAUGUAUCGCAGGCUAUUAGUUGCCAUAUCUUUAAUAAAUCUCUUGAACUGUAUUCUUUCUUUCACGUGGAUGGCUUUUGUUAUUCCUCUUAGAUGGAUCGUUGUGAUGAAAGUGGAAUUACAAAAAUCAUUGACGUCGAGAAGAGAAUUCAGUUCGGAGAGCUAUUAAAAAUAGGACAACUGUUAAACUGCGAUGUUCACCUUUGCCAACAAAAGUAAUUGUAAGAGAAGAAAAUAGAUGUGUCCUUAAUUGUAAGAGAAGAAAAUAGAUGUGUCCUUAUGAGCUUGUAGAACCAAAUUGACCUUAUUAGUCCUAGUGAACAUGUCUAGUGACCUUAUUAAAGCUUCUCAUGAACAUGUCCAUUUUUUUCCCGUUUACAACUUUGUUGUGGGUAAGGCGAUGCAUCGCAAGCAAUGAGUUUCCAUAUCUUUAAUAAAUCUCCCGAACUAUAUUCUUUCUUUCACGACAAUGACUGUUGUUAUCCCUCUUAGAUGAAUCAUUGUGAUGAAAGUGGGAUAACAAAAGUCAUUGACGCAGAAGAAAGAAUUUAGUUCUGGAGAUCUAUUAAAGAUAGGGUGGCUAAUUGCUUGCCAUGCAUUGCCUUUGCCACAAAAUAGUUGCAAGAAAAGAAAGUGGAUGUGUCAUGACGAGCUCAUAGAACCGAACUGGUCUUAUUAGCCCUAGUGGGUUUCAAGGAAAUGUGUUACCCACAAAAAGCCAUGUUUGUAGAAAUCAGAAGUUACCAAGCUAAUGAUGGGUUGAGAGUGGAAUAAGAAGUUUGAGUUCAUAAGAGGGGAAGAAAGUGUGGUUUCCAGUUACAACACAAAUAUUCAAACGUUCAUGUAGUUUAAUUUCGCCAUACUCUAAUUGUGCUGCCCUUGUCCUCAACUUUUGUUGUUAAUUUGUUUCUCAAGAAAAUUUUCUAAAUAUUUGUAUUUCUCCCUCUCCCUUGUUUGUGUUUUCACUGUGUAUAUGGGUGCCAUGUGACUCACCGUGAUGCUUUUGCAUUUACCUA